GGGUCAUGUCUAAUCCAUGAUAUAUUGAGAUGUUUGUUUGGUGAUGCAUUUUCAUAUAUAGUGCGUAUGAAUGAACUGUUUUCAGUGUUUCUACUCACUGGGCUUUAGAAGCUCAUCCCUUUCCCUUAAUCCCAGUUUUGCAGGUUCAGAGUAGCUGGGAAGGGCAGAAGCAUCAGAGGUGCUAAAGGAUUGCAUGUGUAAUAGUAUAGUGUGGACAUGAUGUA
rnacentral:lncRNA from 1 species